GCGUGCGCGGAGGUGAGUUUGCCCGGACUCGGCGCGCGUGCGCGGAGGCCACCGGAACGGGUCCCCACAGGCAGCGCCGAGACCAUGGGCCAUCGGUGGCCGCCCUGCUCCCGCUCCCUGCUGGGGGCCUGCACCCUCCUGUCCUUGGCCACCGCUGCCCUCCUGGGGCACAUCCUGCUCCACGAUUUGGCGGCCUUCCCCCAAGAGCUGCGUGGCUUCUCUCAGGAGCCCAAGGAGAAGAACGGAGCCCACCAGCAGGGAGCCGGCAGCCCGGGGCCCCGCCCCCGCCCAGGAGCAGCGCCCACACAGUGCGACGUGCCCCCCAACAGCCGCUUCGACUGCGCCCCCGACAGGCCCAUCACCCAGGAGCAGUGUGAGGCCCGGGGCUGCUGCUACGUGCCCGUGGGGUGGGCGCGGGGCUCCCGGAUGGGGCCGCCCUGGUGCUUCUUCCCCCCCAGCUACCCGAGCUACCGGCUGGGGAACCUGACCACCACGGACACGGGCUACACGGCCAGCCUGGCCCGCGCCGCCCCGACCUUCUUCCCCAAGGACAUCCUGACCUUGCGGCUGGACGUGCUGCUGGAGACCGAGAGCCGCCUCCACUUCACGAUCAAAGACCCCGCCAGCAGGCGCUACGAGGUGCCCAUGGAGACCCCGCGAGUCCGCAGCCGGGCGCCAUCCACGCUCUACAGCGUGGAGCUCUCCGAGGAGCCCUUCGGGGUGGUGGUGCGGCGGAAGCAGGGCGGCCGCGUGCUGCUGAACACGGCGGUGGCGCCCCUGUUCUUCGCCGACCAGUUCCUGCAGCUGUCCACCUCGCUGCCCUCCCAGCACGUCGCCGGCCUGGCCGAGCACCUCGGCCCCCUCAUGCUCAGCACCAACUGGACCAAGGUCACCCUCUGGAACCGGGACCUCGCGCCCGCGCCCGACGCGAACCUGUACGGGUCCCACCCCUUCUACCUGGUGCUGGAGGACGGCGGGCUGGCCCACGGCGUCUUCCUCCUGAACAGCAACGCCAUGGAUGUGGUCCUGCAGCCGAGCCCCGCCCUCAGCUGGAGGUCGACGGGCGGCAUCCUGGACGUGUACGUCUUCCUGGGCCCUGAGCCCCAGAGCGUGGUGCGGCAGUACCUGGACGUCGUAGGCCGCCCGUUCCUGCCGCCCUACUGGGCGCUGGGCUUCCACCUCUGCCGCUGGGGCUACUCCUCCACCGCAAUCACCCGCCAGGUGGUGGAGAACAUGACCCGGGCCCGCUUCCCGCUGGACGUCCAGUGGAACGACUUGGACUACAUGGACGCCGGGAGGGACUUCACCUUCAACAAGGACGGCUUCGGGGACUUCCCGGCCAUGGUGCAGGAGCUCCACCAGGGCGGCCGGCGGCACGUGGUGAUCGUGGACCCCGCCAUCAGCAGCUCUGGCCCUGCCGGCAGCUACCGACCCUAUGACGAGGGUCUGCGGAGGGGGGUUUUCAUCACCAAUGAGACCGGGCAGCCGCUGAUCGGGAAGGUGUGGCCGGGGCUCACCGCCUUCCCCGACUUCACCAACCCCGAGGCCCUCGACUGGUGGCAGGACAUGGUGGCCGAGUUCCACGCCCAGGUGCCCUUCGACGGCAUGUGGAUUGACAUGAACGAGCCGUCCAACUUCGUGAAGGGCUCUGUGGACGGCUGCCCCGACAGUGACCUAGAGAACCCGCCCUACGUGCCAGGAGUGGUUGGCGGGACCCUCCGGGCAGCCACCAUCUGUGCCUCCAGCCGCCAGUUCCUGUCCACGCACUACAACUUGCACAACCUGUACGGCCUGACCGAGGCCGUGGCCUCCCACCGGGCCCUGGCGAAGGCUCGGGGGACGCGCCCCUUCGUCAUCUCCCGCUCAACCUUCGCCGGCCACGGCCAGUUUGCCGGCCACUGGACAGGGGACGUGAGGAGCAGCUGGGAGCAGCUGUCCUUGUCUGUGCCAGAAGUCCUGCUCUUCAACCUGCUGGGGGUGCCCCUGGUGGGGGCCGACAUCUGCGGCUUCCAGGGCGACACGUCGGAGGAGCUGUGUGUGCGUUGGACCCAGCUGGGCGCCUUCUAUCCCUUCAUGCGGAACCACAACGACCUGCACAGCCAGCCCCAGGAGCCGUAUCGGUUCAGCGAGCCGGCCCAGCAAGCCAUGCGGAAGGCCUUCGCCCUGCGCUACGCGCUGCUGCCCCACCUGUACACGCUGUUCCUUGGCGCCCACACCAGGGGCGACACCGUGGCCCGGCCGCUCUUCCUGGAGUUCCCCGAGGACCCCCGCACCUGGACCGUGGACCGCCAGCUCCUGUGGGGGGCGGCUCUGCUCGUCACGCCGGUGCUCGAGGCCGGGAAGGUUGAAGUGACUGGCUACUUCCCUGCCGGCACGUGGUACGACCUGCAAGCGGUGCCCGUGGAGGCCCUUGGCAGCCUCCCGCCUGCCCCCGCGCGACCCCUCAAGCCCGCCAUCCACAGUGAGGGGCAGUGGGUGACACUGCCAGCCCCCCUGGACACCGUCAACCUCCACCUCCGGGCUGGGCACAUCGUCCCCCUGCAGGGCCCUGCCCUCACGACCACGGAGUCCCGCCAGCAGCCCAUGGCGCUGGCCGUGGCCCUGACUGCGGGCGGGGGGGCCCGAGGGGAGCUCUUCUGGGACGACGGGGACAGCCUGGGGACACUGGAGCGCGGCGCCUACACCCAGGUCGUCUUCCUGGCCCAGAAUCCCGUUCCCUCUGCCUCACGCGGGGCCAGAACACCGUCGCGAACGAGCUGGUACGUGUGGACAGCGAGGGGGCCGGCCUGCAGCUGCGGAGGGUGACGGUCCUGGGGGUGCCCUCGGCCCCGCAGCGGGUCCUCGCCAACGGCGCCCCUGUCCCCAGCUUCACCUACAGCCCCGACACCCAGACCCUGGACAUCGCUGUCUCGCUGAUGAUGGGGCAGCAGUUUCUCAUCAGCUGGUCUUAAGCGGGCUGGCCCUGGCGCUGCCCGCCAUGCCACGUGGCACUGACUCGCGCUCCGUGUCCCCCUCCUGCGCUGGGGCUCGGUGCCAGCGGCGCCUCUGUCACAGCAUUCGGUCAGGACCCCUGAGGGUCGCCUGGAUUCCACGUUUUCCCGGGAGGCUGCUCUCCGUAGCCUGUCACACAAGGUCAGGCGCCGUCCGUGCCGCCCGCGACAGGGAAGGUGGUCUGUGGGAGGCGAUGUGGUGCCUCACCCCGAAGCCACGCCCGGUGGCUCUGUGGCUGCUCUGACUGACAGCGGAGCUGGGUGGCCGCCGCGGACCGCUUUCUGGGAACUCGGGAGAAUUCGCAGGACUCAGGAAACCUUCCACUUCAAGUGCAAUUAUUUGUAAUAAAAGGGCAUCUGCGGGUCCCUCUGGCAUCCAGGGUACGAAGGGUGUGCCCAAGGGCCGUGACAUGGAGGCGGAGGGUCCACCCGCCGUGGGCCCCUGGACGUUCCCAGGUGGCGGGGGCGGGGGCUGAACUGCGCGGGCUCAGAGCAGCCGCCCCGAGUCCCCAGCUGGGUGCACGUCCCAGCCGGCCUGUCCCCGCGCAGCCGCCGGUCUGCCUUGUCCAGCGUGGAUCGGUCCCCGUUUCCUGGCACCGUAUCUGAAUGGACGCCUGCGGUGUGUGCCCGUGUGCGCCCACGACACUGUCCCUUCUCUCUGCCGGGGAGCCUGCCGCUGCGCACCGGCUGUGAGUGCGCACGAGCACCGUUUCCAGUUUGGGGCAGUUAUGGACGAAGCCUCGAUGGCCAUCGUGGCAAGACUUUGAGUGGACGUGUUUCAUUUCUCUCGUGAAAACACCAGGCUGGCGCGGACAGGUCCUGCGUGUGGGGUCACUUGUGCCCAGCAGGGUCACCCAUAGGCCCCCGCCCCCGGGCCAGCGCAGUGUCUGCCAGCCUCCGCCUGCGAGUGAGCGCGGUCCCGCCGCGGUCCCGGUUGCCGCGCCCCCAGUGACUGACAGCGGGGAGCACCUUUGCGGGGCCUUACCUGACACCCAUAAUUUGGGGUGAGGCACCAGUUCAGAUCUGCCCGCUGGUCCUCGGUGGUUCCCCUGAUCGAGUCUCACAAUAAAAUG